rnacentral:rRNA from 1 species
UACGAAGGGGGCUAGCGUUGUUCGGAUUUACUGGGCGUAAAGCGCACGUAGGCGGAUCGUUAAGUCGGGGGUGAAAUCCUGGAGCUCAACUCUGGAACUGCCUUUGAAACUGGUGACCUUGAGUACGGGAGAGGUGAGUGGAAUUCCCAGUGUAGAGGUGAAAUUCGUAGAUAUUGGGAAGAACACCGGUGGCGAAGGCGGCUCACUGGCCCGUAACUGACGCUCAGGCGCGAUAGCGUGGGGAUCAAACAGG